rnacentral:rRNA from 1 species
GAUCAUGGCUCAGGAUGAACGCUGGCGGCGUGCCUAACACAUGCAAGUCGAACGGACUUUUCAUGAAGCCUAGCGAUUGAAAAGUUAGUGGCGGACGGGUGAGUAACGCGUGGGUAACCUGCCUUGUACUGGGGGACAACAGUUGGAAACGACUGCUAAUACCGCAUAAGACCACAGCACCGCAUGGUGCAGGGGUAAAAACUCCGGUGGUAUGAGAUGGACCCGCGUCUGAUUAGUUAGUUGGUGGGGUAACGG